GAGGAAGGAGAAGUCGUAACAAGGUUUCCGUAGGUGAACCUGCGGAAGGAUCAUUGUCGAAACCUGCCCAGCAGAACGACCCGCGAACACGUAUCAAUGCCGCGGGGGCGAGGGGAGGCAUGCCCCCUCUCUCCCCCCAAAGUCGGGACGCGCUCGGUGCUCGAUCCGCCGACCGUGCCACGUGCGCGGGAAGCACCGGCACCGGCGUGCGCCCGGCAUCACAACGAACCCCGGCGCAAAUCGCGUCAAGGAAACGAAACGCAAGAGCCCGCUCCCAUCCCCCGGUCUCGGGUCGUGGUGGGGGCGAUGGCAUCUUCGAUAUUAUACUAAACGACUCUCGGCAACGGAUAUCUCGGCUCUCGCAUCGAUGAAGAACGUAGCGAAAUGCGAUACUUGGUGUGAAUUGCAGAAUCCCGUGAACCAUCGAGUCUUUGAACGCAAGUUGCGCCCAAAGCCAUUAGGCCGAGGGCACGUCUGCCUGGGCGUCACGUAUCGCGUCGCCACCCCAAACCCCCGCCCACGCAUGCCGUGAUGCGGGGCGUCCUGUGGGGGCGGAUAUUGGCCUCCCGUGCACUUCGCCGCGGUUGGCCUAAAAGCGAGCCCCGGGCGACAGAACGUCACGAUAAGUGGUGGUUGAUAAGCCCCGGCCCUUCAAGUGUCAUGUCGUGCGUUGCCCUGUCGCCCGCUGGAGCUACGAGACCCCGAUGCGUCGUCCCGACGAUGCUUCCAUCGCGACCCCAGGUCAGGCGGGACUACCCGCUGAGUUUAAGCAUAUCA
rnacentral:misc_RNA from 1 species